GUUGAAAUACCGGUCCCCGUACGAUCACCGAAUUUAAGCAACAUUGAUCCUGCUCAGUACCUGGGUGGAUGACUGCUUCGGAAUAACAGGUGCAGUAAG